rnacentral:rRNA from 1 species
UGGGGAAUCAUGGUCAAUGGGCGGGAGCCUGAACCAGCCAAGUCGCGUGAAGGAAGAAGGAUCUAUGGUUCGUAAACUUCUUUUGCAGGGGAAUAAAGUGCAGGACGUGUCCUGUUUUGUAUGUACCCUGAGAAUAAGGAUCGGCUAACUCCGUGCCAGCAGCCGCGGUAAUACGGAGGAUCCGAGCGUUAUCCGGAUUUAUUGGGUUUAAAGGGUGCGUAGGUGGUUUGAUAAGUCAGCGGUGAAAGUUUGCAGCUUAACUGUAAAAAUGCCGUUGAAACUGUCGGACUUGAGUGUAAAUGAGGUAGGCGGAAUGCGGGGUGUAGCGGUGAAAUGCAUAGAUAUCACGCAGAACUCCAAUUGCGAAGGCAGCUUGCCAAGCCACAACUGACACUGAAGCACGAAAGCGUGGGGAUCAAACA